rnacentral:rRNA from 1 species
CUCCUACGGGAGGCAGCAGUGAGGAAUAUUGGUCAAUGGGCGAUGGCCUGAACCAGCCAAGUAGCGUGAAGGAUGACUGCCCUAUGGGUUGUAAACUUCUUUUAUAAAGGAAUAAAGUCGGGUAUGCAUACCCGUUUGCAUGUACUUUAUGAAUAAGGAUCGGCUAACUCCGUGCCAGCAGCCGCGGUAAUACGGAGGAUCCGAGCGUUAUCCGGAUUUAUUGGGUUUAAAGGGAGCGUAGAUGGAUGUUUAAGUCAGUUGUGAAAGUUUGCGGCUCAACCGUAAAAUUGCAGUUGAUACUGGAUGUCUUGAGUGCAGUUGAGGCAGGCGGAAUUCGUGGUGUGGCGGUGAAAUGCUUAGAUAUCACGAAGAACUCCGAUUGCGAAGGCAGCCUGCUAAGCUGCAACUGACAUUGAGGCUCGAAAGUGUGGGUAUCAAACAGGAUUAGAUACCCUGGUAGUCCACACGGU